GACUGCCUUGGGUGGUCCAAGGGUACGGUAAAGCAUUCAGUAUACGAACCAGCUAGGGUAAAGUCUGUUCGUUUUGGUUCAUAUACGAUUUAGACGAAUGGAAAUUCAAACAAGGUUCAGAAUUGCAAUAACACAUAACUCCAAAGGAAUAGGGCAUCUGUUACAAAGGUUUUUGACACUGUUUCACAUAGAAGGCGUAUCAAUAAA